rnacentral:rRNA from 1 species
CCGAUAGCGCACAAGUAGAGUGAUCGAAAGAUGAAAAGCACUUUGGAAAGAGAGUCAAACAGUACGUGAAAUUGUUGAAAGGGAAGCGCUUGCAACCAGACUUGCCCGCGGGUGAUCAGCCGGUAUUCUUACCGGUGCACUCGCCCGUGGUCAGGCCAGCAUCGGUUCGGGCGGCUGGAUAAAGUCCACUGGAAUGUAGCUCCCUUCGGGGAGUGUUAUAGCCAGAGGUGCCAUGCAGCCCGCCCGGACCGAGGACCGCGCUUCGGCUAGGAUGCUGGCGUAAUGGUUGCAAGCGACCCGUCUUGAAACACGGACCAAGGAGUCUAACAUCUAUGCGAGUGUUUGGGUGUCAAACCCAUGCGCGUAAUGAAAGUGAACGGAGGUGGGAACCCUUAAGGGUGCACCAUCGACCGAUCCUGAUGUCUUCGGAUGGAUUUGAGUAAGAGCAUAGCUGUUGGGACCCGAAAGAUGGUGAACUAUGCCUGAAUAGGGUGAAGCCAGAGGAAACUCUGGUGGAGGCUCGCAGCGGUUCUGACGUGCAAAUCGAUCGUCAAAUUUGGGUAUAGGGGCGAAAGACUAAUCGAACCAUCUGCUAGUAGAUGGCAUACCGGGCCGCGCGCCCCAGUAGUCCCCGCGUGGCGGGGGCAACAUCGCCGGUCUCUCCGGGGAUGCCUGUGGGCUACCCGCAGUGAGCCUUGGGCUCAUUCACAGUCUGUGCGGUGGCUGUGCCCUGGAGCACGGUUAGGAUAUAGU